GCAGCCGCCGCGGGAAUACGAAGGGUGCAAGCGUUACUCGGAAUUACUGGGCGUAAAGCGUGUGUAGGUGGUUGUUUAAGUCUGUCGUGAAAGCCCUGGGCUCAACCUGGGAAUUGCGAUGGAUACUGGGCGACUAGAGUGCGGUAGAGGAUAGUGGAAUUUCCGGUGUAGCAGUGAAAUGCGUAGAGAUCGGAAGGAACAUCUGUGGCGAAGGCGACUAUCUGGGCCAACACUGACACUGAGACACGAAAGCGUGGGGAGCAAACAGGAUUAGAUACCCCAGUAGUCCCUGUCUCUUAUA
rnacentral:rRNA from 1 species